CAAUAGCGUAUAUUAAAGUUGUUGCAGUUAAAAAGCUCGUAGUUGGAUUUCUGCUGAGGACGAUCGGUCCGCCCACUGGGUGAGUAUCUGGCUCGGCCUUGGCAUCUUCUUGGAGAACGUUGCUGCACUUGACUGUGUGGCGCGGUAUCCAGGACUUUUACUUUGAGGAAAUUAGAGUGUUUCAAGCAGGCGCACGCCUUGAAUACAUUAGCAUGGAAUAAUGAGAUAGGACCUUGGUUCUAUUUUGUUGGUUUCUAGAGCUGAGGUAAUGAUUAAUAGGGAUAGUUGGGGGCAUUCGUAUUUAACUGUCAGAGGUGAAACUCUUGGAUUUGUUAAAGAUGGACUACUGCGAAAGCAUUUGCCAAGGAUGUUUUCAUUGA
rnacentral:rRNA from 1 species